rnacentral:rRNA from 1 species
ACAAUGGAGAGUUUGAUCCUGGCUCAGGACGAACGCUGGCGGCGGGCUUAACACAUGCAAGUCGAAGGAGAAGGAAGGAGCUUGCUCUUUCUGGAGACUGGCGGACGGGUGAGUAACGCGUAGCCAACCUGCCUUUAGCUGGGGGAUAACAUUCCGAAAGGGGUGCUAAUACCGCAUAAUGCAGCGGGGCCGCAUGGCCACAGUUGUUAAAGGUUUCGACCGGCUAAAGAGGGGGCUGCGUGCUAUUAGUUAGUUGGUGAGGUAACGGCUCAC